UUGGGACCCCAGGUCAGGCGGGACUACCCGCUGAGUUUAAGCAUAUCAAUA
rnacentral:rRNA from 1 species